UACGUAGGUGGCAAGCGUUGUCCGGAUUUAUUGGGUUUAAAGGGUGCGUAGGCGGCCUUAUAAGUCAGUGCUGAAAUAUCCCGGCUUAACCGGGAGGGUGGCAUUGAUACUGUAGGGCUUGAGUAAAGUUGAGGUAGGCGGAAUUGACGGUGUAGCGGUGAAAUGCUUAGAUAUCGUCAAGAACACCGAUAGUGAAGACAGCUUACUAAACUUUAACUGACGCUGAGGCACGAAAGUGUGGGGAUCAAACGGG
rnacentral:rRNA from 1 species